rnacentral:misc_RNA from 1 species
AAGUCGUAACAAGGUUUCCGUAGGUGAACCUGCGGAAGGAUCAUUUCUGAACUAAGGUUUAAAGUUGGACAAAGAGAGAGGGGAGUUCAUUCUCCUUUUUUCAUUUGAAAACCUUUUUCCUUAUCAAAGAGAGUGUGUGGUAUAAAUGAAAAGGAAAAAUAAACUUGAAAGGAUGGCGGGUUACUUUAUUGUACUCGUUGUUUCUUUUUUUUUGUUUUUUUUCCUAAUCUUAAACUUUAUGAACCAAAACAAGUUACUUUUAUUGUUCAAAAACAAAAACUUAUUUUGUCUUUUUUUUUCCGGAUUUUGCUGUGUGCAGAUGAAAGAAAAAAAAGCAAAGUAAACAAAAAAAAAUGACAUACAACUGUCAACGGUGGAUCUCUUGGCUCGU